rnacentral:rRNA from 1 species
AUUGAACGCUGGCGGCAGGCCUAACACAUGCAAGUCGAACGAGUGGCAGACGGGUGAGUAAUGUCUGGGAAACUGCCCGAUGGAGGGGGAUAACUACUGGAAACGGUAGCUAAUACCGCGUACCAUCGGUUGUGCCCAGAUGGGAUUUGCUUGUAGGUGAGGUAACGGCUCACCUAGGCGACGAUCCCUAGCUGGUCUGAGAGGAUGACCAGCAACACUGGAACUGAACCACGGUCAAGACUCCUGCGGGAGGCAGCAGUUGGGAAUAUUGCGCAAUGGGGGAAAGCCUGAUGCAGCCAUGCCGCGUGGAUGAAGAAGGCCUUCGGGUUGUAAAGUGCUUUCAGCGGGGAGGCGUUACCCGCAGAAGAAGCACCGGCUAACUCCGUGCCAGCAGCCGCGGUAAUUC